GCCCCCAUCGUCUAGAGGCCUAGGACAUUUCCUUUUCACGGAAACAACGGGGAUUCGAAUUCCCCUGGGGGUA
rnacentral:tRNA from 1 species